GACGAACGCUGGCGGCGUGCUUAACACAUGCAAGUCGAGCGGUAAGGCCCUUUCGGGGGGUACACGAGCGGCGAACGGGUGAGUAACACGUGGGUGACCUGCCCUCAGCUCUGGGAUAAGCCUGGGAAACCGGGUCUAAUACUGGAUAUGACUCCAUGACGCAUGUUGUGGGGUGGAAAGCCUUGUGCGGCUGAGGAUGGGCCCGCGGCCUAUCAGCUUGUUGGUGGGGNGAUGGCCUACCAAGGCGACGACGGGUAGCCGGCCUGAGAGGGCGACCGGCCACACUGGGACUGAGACACGGCCCAGACUCCUACGGGAGGCAGCAGUGGGGAAUCUUGCGCAAUGGGCGAAAGCCUGACGCAGCGACGCCGCGUGAGGGAUGACGGCC
rnacentral:rRNA from 1 species